AACGAACGCUGGCGGCAGGCCUAACACAUGCAAGUCGAACGCCGUAGCAAUACGGAGUGGCAGACGGGUGAGUAACACGUGGGAACGUACCCUUCGGUUCGGGAUAACUCAGGGAAACUUGAGCUAAUACCGGAUACGUCCGAGAGGAGAAAGAUUUAUUGCCGAGGGAUCGGCCCGCGUCUGAUUAGCUUGUUGGUGAGGUAACGGCUCACCAAGGCGACGAUCAGUAGCUGGUCNGAGA
rnacentral:rRNA from 1 species